CAGUCGAGCGAAUUGAUGGGAGCUUGCUCCCUGAUAUUAGCGGCGGACGGGUGAGUAACACGUGGGUAACCUGCCUGUAAGAUUGGGAUAACUCCGGGAAACCGGAGCUAAUACCGGAUAACAUGUUGAACCGCAUGGUUCAACAUUGAAAGAUGGCUUUUGCUAUCACUUACAGAUGGACCCGCGGCGCAUUAGCUAGUUGGUGAGGUAACGGCUCACCAAGGCAACGAUGCGUAGCCGACCUGAGAGGGUGAUCGGCCACACUGGGACUGAGACACGGCCCAGACUCCUACGGGAGGCAGCAGUAGGGAAUCUUCCGCAAUGGACGAAAGUCUGACGGAGCAACGCCGCGUGAACGAUGAAGGCCUUCGGGUCGUAAAGUUCUGUUGUUAGGGAAGAACAAGUACCAGAGUAACUGCUGGUACCUUGACGGUACCUAACCAGAAAGCCACGGCUAACUACGUGCCAGCAGCCGCGGUAAUACGUAGGUGGCAAGCGUUGUCCGGAAUUAUUGGGCGUAAAGCGCGCGCAGGUGGUUUCUUAAGUCUGAUGUGAAAGCCCACGGCUCAACCGUGGAGGGUCAUUGGAAA
rnacentral:rRNA from 1 species